rnacentral:piRNA from 1 species
GGCAUAGAUAAGUACAUACGGUGGAUCC